AAUAGCAGCCAUAUCACCCUGUAGCCCAAGACUGGUUGCCCACUGAAGCUAAACAGGGUUGAGCCUGGUCAGUACCUGGAUGGGAGACUUUCUGGGAAAACUAGGUUGCUGCUGGAA
rnacentral:rRNA from 1 species